GACCGCGUAGCUCAGUUGGAAGAGCAUUGGGCUAGUAUUCAAAAGGUCGUAGGUUCGAAUCCCACCGUGGCUG
rnacentral:tRNA from 1 species